rnacentral:rRNA from 1 species
AUACGGAGGGUGCAAGCGUUAUUCGGAAUCACUGGGCGUAAAGGACGCGUAGGCGGGUUGGCAAGUCAGAUGUGAAAUCCUACAGCUUAACUGUAGAACUGCAUUUGAAACUGCUAACCUAGAGUAUGGGAGGGGGAGAUGGAAUCAGUGGUGUAGGGGUAAAAUCCGUAGAUAUCACUAGGAAUACCGAAAGCGAAGGCGAUCUCCUGGAACAUAACUGACGCUAAGGCGUGAAAGCGUGGGGAGCAAACAGGAUUAGAAACCCCAGUAGUCC